GGAGAUGUAGCUCAGUGGUAGAGCACCUAAUAGCAAUGUACAAGGCCCUGGGUUCACUCCCAAGCACCACCA
rnacentral:tRNA from 1 species